AAGAGCUCGUAGGUGGUUUGUCGCGUUGUUCGUGAAAUCUCACGGCUUAACUGUGAGCGUGCGGGCGAUACGGGCAGACUUGAGUACUGCAGGGGAGACUGGAAUUCCUGGUGUAGCGGUGGAAUGCGCAGAUAUCAGGAGGAACACCGGUGGCGAAGGCGGGUCUCUGGGCAGUAACUGACGCUGAGGAGCGAAAGCGUGGGGAGCGAACAGGAUUAGAUACCCUGGUAGUCCACGCCGUAAACGGUGGGUACUAGGUGUGGGUUUCCUUCCUUGGGAUCCGUGCCGUAGCUAACGCAUUAAGUACCCCGCCUGGGGAGUACGGCCGCAAGGCUAAAACUCAAAGAAAUUGACGGGGGCCCGCACAAGCGGCGGAGCAUGUGGAUUAAUUCGAUGCCAACGCGAAGAACCUUACCUGGGUUUGACAUGCACAUGGACGCCCGCCAGAGAAGUUCGGUUCCCUGUGCCCCUGUGUGCCAGCUUGGUGCAUUGGCUGUCGUCAGCUCGUGUUCGUGAGAUGUUUGGGUUAAGUCCCGCAACGAGCGCAACCCCUUGUUCUCAUGUUGCCAGCGGGUAAUGCCGGGAACUCGUGAGAGACUGCCGGGGUCAACUCGGAGGAAGGUGGGGAUGACGUCAAGUCAUCAUGCCCCUUAUGUCCAGGGCUUCACACAUGCUACAAUGGCCGGUACAAAGGGCUGCGAUGCCGCGAGGUUAAGCGAAUCCUUUUAAAGCCGGUCUCAGUUCGGAUCGGGGUCUGCAACUCGACCCCGUGAAGUCGGAGUCGCUAGUAAU
rnacentral:rRNA from 1 species